AACGCACAUUGCGCCCCUUGGUAUUCCAUGGGGCAUGCCUGUUCGAGCGUCAUUGACACCCUCAAGCUCUGCUUGGUGUUGGGUUGUUGUCGUUUCCUCGCCCCCCAGCGACACAGCGACACCCCUCAAAGUCAUUGGCGGCCUUUCUGCCCAGCUUCCCGCGCAGCAGUUCGCGCUUCGGAGACCACUUGGCAGGCUGGCAUCCAUCAAGCUGACCCCUUCAUGCUUGACCUCGGAUCAGGUAGGGAUACCCGCUGAACUUAA
rnacentral:misc_RNA from 1 species